UUUUCUACGGAAUAGCCUCGGGAAACUGAGAGUAAUACCGUAUAAGCCCUUCGGGGGAAAGAUUUAUCGGGAAAGGAUUGGCCCGCGUUAGAUUAGAUAGUUGGUGGGGUAAUGGCCUACCAAGUCUACGAUCUAUAGCUGGUUUUAGAGGAUGAUCAGCAACACUGGGACUGAGACACGGCCCAGACUCCUACGGGAGGCAGCAGUGGGGAAUCUUAGACAAUGGGCGCAAGCCUGAUCUAGCCAUGCCGCGUGUGUGAUGAAGGUCUUAGGAUCGUAAAGCACUUUCGCCAGGGAUGAUAAUGACAGUACCUGGUAAAGAAACCCCGGCUAACUCCGUGCCAGCAGCCGCGGUAAUACGGAGGGGGUUAGCGUUGUUCGGAAUUACUGGGCGUAAAGCGUACGUAGGCGGAUUGGAAAGUUGGGGGUGAAAUCCCAGGGCUCAACCCUGGAACUGCCUCCAAAACUAUCAGUCUAGAGUUCGAGAGAGGUGAGUGGAAU
rnacentral:rRNA from 1 species